GUGGUGGUCGCGGGGGUGCCGGCGCGGGUGAUCCGGGAGAUCACCGACGCGGACCGCGAGUUCCGCUACCGCCCGCCGCGC
rnacentral:tRNA from 1 species